rnacentral:rRNA from 1 species
UAAGGAGUCGGACCUGCCCAGUGAAGUUUUUUAACGGCCGCGGUACUCUGACCGUGCAAAGGUAGCAUAAUCAUUUGCCUUAUAAUUGAAGGCUAGUAUGAAUGGUUUGACAAGAAUAUAGCUGUCUCUUUAUAAUUCUAUAGAAUUUUAUUUUAAAGUGAAGAAGCUUUAAUACAAUUAAUAGACAAGAAGACCCUAUCGAGCUUUAAAAAAUUUUUUAGAAGCCAAUUAAUAAUUUUAAAAAAAAUUAACUAUUGAAAUAUUUUGGUUGGGGCGACUAAGGAACAAACAAAGCUUCCUUUUAUACAAUUUACAUUCAGGUGUUGAUCCAAAAUUUUUGAUUAAAGGAAUUAGUUACCGUAGGGAUAACAGCAUUAUCUUUUUUGAGAGCUCUUAUCGAAAAAAAGGUUUGUGACCUCGAUGUUGGACCAGAAUAUCCUAAAGAUGCAGAAGUCUUUAAGGGUUGGUCUGUUCGACCAUU